CCCACUUUUUUAAAAGAUCACCUAUCCUAGGACUAUCACUACAACAGAAUUAGAUUAUAGGGAUACAUAUUUAGGAUACUUUUGUGUAAGUGUCAUAUUUUUAUCAAAACUUAAAAAAAAAACCUACUAAUGUCUAAAUAUAAAGCCUAAUCCAAUCAAAAAUAAAAGGGUAUUCUAUUCAACCCACCCCACCCAGCCCAUUCGGCCUGAUUACACACAGAAAAGAAAAAUAAAAGAAAAAGAAAAGAAAAAUCGAUUACCAUUUCCCCUUCUCCUCUCACUCAAUCGACUGAAAUUCUCGACGAAGAUCCCUUCCUCUCGUCCUCCUCCGCCACCGCAGCCAACGAGGUAGAGUUCCGGUGGUUGCUAGAUGCUUAAAUAAAUGUUGGUAAAUUAGCAGCACUCUUUUAGAUUAUAGCGACACUCUUUAAUUGUCACUAUAUACCUAGCGACCUCACAUAUAGCAAUAUUUUUUAAAAGUGUCGGUAAUUUAGCCAGUAGCAUUUUUUUUUGACUUAUACCGACAUUUAAAAAUGCCGCUAUAGACCGUUUUUGUUGUAGUGUACUAUAUAACUCUAGCUAGCAUGCUUAACUCUUUUAUUCUCUUAAACCUAGCUACCCGUUAAAUGUUAUAGUCGGGUUAAGAAAUUUAAUUAGUCCUAUUAUAUUUUAGAAAUAAUUUCAUAGAUGCCUUUCUAGGGACUAUUAAUUUCAUCAAUACCCUUCUAAAAUUGAUAAUAUCACGAAUGCCCUCCAAAAUAUUAAAAAUUAUCAUAAAUGUUCUCUGUGUAGUUAAGGUCUGUUAAAGUCCAUCUGAAAUGGAGUUAAAUUUUCAAACUACCAUGUUACCCUUUAUCGCUUAUCAAUAGUAGAAAUAUUAAUAGGUAUUUCAAGAUAAUUUUUGUAAAUCUAAAUUUAAGUAUUUAAUAUAUAAAUAUUAAAUUAAAUUAUUAAUAUACAUUAAUUACUAAAAUAUAUAUAUACAAUGUAUUUUAUAUAUAGUAUGUUUUUAUCUGAUUUUGGUUUUGUUUUUGGUUUCGGGUGUUGGUUCAGGUUCGGUUUAAAUAUAGACCAAAAUCAUAGCUGAAUUUACAUAGAUCUCAUUUUUUGGUACCUAUAAUUGAAACUAUCCAUACUCAGUAUCGAUUAAGCUCACUCCAUUCAAAAUCGAGUUCAGAUAAAAUUGCGUAUCUAUAUCAAUUAACAUUCCUAAUUAGUAAUAGUAAUUUUGAAAAUAAAU
rnacentral:lncRNA from 1 species